rnacentral:tRNA from 1 species
GGUUCAAGUCCCUCUAUCCCCAAAAAG